GAGAAGAAAAAUGGUCACACUAUGAAAAGACAAGAAGGUCACAUUAGUUUGAGCAGUCGAUAAAAGAGCGGGGAGAAAAGACGAAGCGAAAUAAAACGCAACCAACGCCUAAGUACCGAUUAAGAUAAGCGAUUGUGUUUUAUCCGCAAUUCUCACGUUUCUGGACACAAUAUCUUUUAUUUCGCUCCUUGGAAGCCAAUGACCCUAGAGUUCUUAGAGUUUGUGUGAAGACGGGUGGAGACUCGUGGUGCAAGCACUGAAGUAUACUGGACAUUGGAGAAGCGACCGAACCCACAAGGAGACGGUCAUCUCGCUCGUGGGUGGACAAUAAACAUUGAAGAACACGAAGGCCAACGUGGGUGCGCACGUCAGGCAGCUGAAAAAGCGCACAUUUAUAUGUAUGUACAUAUGCGAGAUAUUGCAAAUACUGCCAUCUCGCUCUAUCCAACGAAGUUCUUACGGGCCAGCAACUAGAGGCUUGGGUGCGCAGUUGGCUGAUGAAAUCGAGUGAAAAUUUCUGGAUUCUGGUUUAUUUGGUAAGUGCCAAUUUGAUUGUUGAUUUGGGAAAAGGUACAUCUGCGGGUGAUGAUUACCAGAGCAAUGAGCAACGGAUGAAAUGGACGAGGAAACGUUUGAGAUGGGAAAAGUGGAAGGAGAAUCCGCGCAAGGUGAAGUCUCAAAUAUGGAGAGGGCCUGGGCCGGCACAUCAAAAGAAGCCCAAUGUGGCGCCAAAUGCAAGAAGGUCAGAGAGCCAAUGCAAAGCAAAUGCAGCAGUUCCAAAUGGAAGUUCUGUGGAUGAAUCAAAUUCAAAUGAAAAAACUAAUAUACUUCUGCGAUCCCUUGGUAUUAGUGGAAGGACAACUGGCGGACCAGGACCACAA